rnacentral:rRNA from 1 species
UAGGGAAUCUUCCGCAAUGGACGAAAGUCUGACGGAGCAACGCCGCGUGAGUGAAGAAGGUUUUCGGAUCGUAAAACUCUGUUGUUAGGGAAGAACAAGUGCCGUUCGAAUAGGGCGGCGCCUUGACGGUACCUAACCAGAAAGCCACGGCUAACUACGUGCCAGCAGCCGCGGUAAUACGUAGGUGGCAAGCGUUGUCCGGAAUUAUUGGGCGUAAAGCGCGCGCAGGUGGUUUCUUAAGUCUGAUGUGAAAGCCCACGGCUCAACCGUGGAGGGUCAUUGGAAACUGGGGAACUUGAGUGCAGAAGAGGAAAGUGGAAUUCCAAGUGUAGCGGUGAAAUGCGUAGAUAUUUGGAGGAACACCAGUGGCGAAGGCGACUUUCUGGUCUGUAACUGACACUGAGGCGCGAAAGCGUGGGGAGCGAAACAGGAUUAGAUACCCUGGUAGUCCACGCCGUAAACGAUGAGUG